UUCCUGGUGGUCCAGUGGUUAGGAUGCUGCACUUUGAAUGCCGAGGGCCUAGGUUCAAUCCCUGGUUGGGGAA